ACCAGACUCCUACGGGAGGCAGCAGUGGGGAAUAUUGCACAAUGGGGGAAACCCUGAUGCAGCGACGCCGCGUGAGCGAGGAAGUAUUUCGGUAUGUAAAGCUCUGUCAGCAGGGAAGAAGAAUGACGGUACCUGAAGAAGAAGCACCGGCUAAAUACGUGCCAGCAGCCGCGGUAAUACGUAUGGUGCAAGCGUUAUCCGGAUUUACUGGGUGUAAAGGGAGCGCAGGCGGUUCUGCAAGUCUGAUGUGAAAGCCCGGGGCUCAACCGCGGGACUGCAUUGGAAACUGCGGGACUGGAGUGUCGGAGGGGUAAGCGGAAUUCCUGGUGUAGCGGUGAAAUGCGUGGAUAUCAGGAGGAACACCGGUGGCGAAGGCGGCUUACUGGACGAUGACUGACGCUGAGGCUCGAAAGCGUGGGGAGCAAACAGGAUUAGAUACCCUUGUA
rnacentral:rRNA from 1 species